GUGCUCACUUCAGCAGCACAUAAACUAAAAUUGGAACACUACAGAGAUUAGCAUGGCCCCUAUGCAAGGAUAACAAGACAAAUUUGUGAAGCAUUCUGUACUUUU